rnacentral:rRNA from 1 species
GACGAACGCUGGCGGCGUGCUUAACACAUGCAAGUGGAGCGACGAACCAGGGCUUGCCCUGGGGCAAAGCCGCGAACGGGUGAGUAACACGUGGGUAACCCACCCCGAUGAUCGGGACAACCCGAGGAAACUCGGGCUAAUACCGAAUGUGCUUUCAGUUCAUGAGGACUGCAAGUAAAGAUAGCUUCGGCCUUCGCAUCGGGACGGGCCCGCGGCCCAUUAGCUUGUUGGUGAGGUAACGGCUCACCAAGGCGACGAUGGGUAGCUGGUCUGAGAGGACGAUCAGCCACACUGGGACUGAGACACGGCCCAGACUCCUACGGGAGGCAGCAGUGGGGAAUCUUGCGCAAUGCGCGAAAGCGUGACGCAGCGACGCCGCGUGGGGAAGAAGGCCUUCGGGUUGUAAACCCCUUUCAGUUGGGACGAAGCUUCAGCGGUGAAUAGCCGCUUGGAGUGACGGUACCUUCACAAGAAGCCCCGGCUAACUACGUGCCAGCCGCCGCUGUAACAC